AAAUUUGGAACCCCAAAUCCAAUUCGCGGCAAGGAAAAUUGUAUCUUCAUUGGUGCCGGCGUUUCUACCGAGAUCGGUGGCCGCCGACAGAAGACAGGCAUCGUCAUCAUCCUCAUCUUCACCAUCUUCUUCUCCCAAAGCCAAUAAGAAAGUCACGGACAAUCGUCUCACUUCCGUGAUUGAUGCCGUCAAUGACCGCAAACUGCCGCCGGAGCUCCGCGGACAGCGCAACAACGUCAGGUGAACAUUACUUUCAAAUAAUUCCGAUUUCUCGGAAAAUAUUCGUUAGAUUGCAUGAAUUCCAUAUUUUUAUUUCCUUUGAUUUUCUGAGCUCACUUAAUUUCUAGAGAUUUACCUGUUGGAUAAUUUGGAUCUGUUUCAUUUGAUUUAUUUGUAUGUAUGUGUGCUUGGCCGCUAUAGAAUUUCUCCAUACUUGUAGGAAUCUGUCUUCCUUUGUAGAAAUUGUUUGC
rnacentral:lncRNA from 1 species